rnacentral:lncRNA from 1 species
AAACAAUGAUAAUGAAAGUUUUUUCAUAAUUCUAAAUUUAUGCUACAGUUAUGGUCGUAAAAGAUUAAGAAAAAUCUUAUGGGUGCAAUUAUUCCACUGACACCUGCGAAAUUACCAAAAGAACUGACCAUCGCUGUUUAUUGUAUUUUUUUAAAUGUUCUAGUUAAACAAUCUAACACUUAA